rnacentral:lncRNA from 1 species
CAAUUACGCUGACGACUGGGGUUCUGAACUCUGAGCUUUGAAGACCCCCAGAAACACUUUCUGGCAGGCUACAGAAACAUCAAGGAGAUUGGGUAGAAACAGGAGGGCCAGCUGAUGCUGAGAAAAAUUUGAGGCUCUCGUAUAUACAUAACAUGUGAAUCCACUACUGGGAUGGUUGCCUAGCAACAUUAUUCCCCUCCCCCUCAAGCCUUCUUGUGACAGCCUCACUUCUUUCCUAUUCUGAUAUUAGCUUAAUGUUUUUUUAUGAAUCAGAUGUACAAUAUUUUGGGAAUGGUGUAUAGCAUAAGAGAGUAGAGAGUAGCCUGAUUUACUAGUAUCAUUUGGAAAAUAUACAAUCCAGGCAGCUCUUUUAAAAAGUUAAUGGUCCAUUUUUGGCCAUGUUACAAAAGUAGAUGUUUAGAUUACAAGAAGAUUUUUUAAAAAGGAAAUACCUAAGGAUCCUGCCCUGCGAAGGCCCCAUUCUGCCGCUCUCGUAUUCAUAGCAGAUGUUUAGGUGGACGUUUCCGGUUGUGCAAGGACCCGGUGAUUUGCCUCAGGUGGACGUAAAAGCCAGUCCACCCCAGGUCCUUUCUCCUGACCAGAGAAGCGUAAAGCUGGAAGGUGCAGGAAAACAUCCAGUUGCUGAGCUGACUUCACUGAAGAAGCCCGGAGAGCUGAGCGCAUUUUCAGUCUCCCAAAUACCAGUCGAUUCUGCAAAAGGGCCCAUGAAGCCCGAGGUGGACUUCGUUGGCCUUGCCUUCAUCAAAGAGAGGCUCGAGGAGUGCACAGCUGCCAGCUCUUGAGGACAGGCUGCUGUGAGCAGCAACACAGCUGAGCUCCCUUGGCUUCAUGGUGGGAGAUUCAUAAGGUAAAUGAAACUUGAGGAGAAUUUUCAAAAGAUGGAAGGAAUGAUCAUUGUAAUAGUGUAUAUAUUACUUCUUCAGAUGACUUUACUGACUUUCUUCUUUUGAGCUUUAUAACACCAGAACUUGGGUCUCUCAUUUAUAAACCCAGUGAUCUUUCUAUUCUACCGCUAUAAAGGGGGCUGACAGGUGACAAAGUGUAGCUGGGUUGAAGAAGCGUCCGUCAGUGGCAUAUGAGUGUGGAGACAGGACAAUGAAAAAUUUUUCCUGAAUAUACAGUUGAGGGUAUAAAUAGCAGAGGGUUGGUGGAGGACCACAAUUUGGAGGGCGUAUUUAUGUCAGCGUGUAGUGAUCAGGUCUUUGAAAUUCAUGACCAGAAAUUUGGGUAAAAUGCAUUCAGGAACUAUAGAGGUCUUGUCAGCACCGGAAAGGUAGGCAACGCUUGAGAAAGAUCUUUUGGUUGCUAACUUUGAAGGGGCCAGUGAUGAGAUGGACAGCCAUAUAGAAGGUUCAGGAAAGACGUCCUUGUGGUGAGUGGUCUUGCCCUAAGAAAGCCCACAGCAGGAUGUGUUUAGAAAUGAGUGUUGGGGGAGGAAGAUGAGAAGGUGUCGAGACCUUUUGCCUUAUCAAAGAAUGUGUGAGAAGAAGGGAUUGAUUGUCAGAGCAAAGAGAAGCACGGAGAUCUAACUUUUGAUGCUUAUAUUUGGUGGGUUUGUCUUUUUAAUAUUUAAUCAUGGUUUUGAGAGACACAGACAAGGAAGUAUGAUAAUGUUAAUUGCAGUGGGUUGCAAACACGUCAGCAUGUUCUUUGACACUCCUCCAAUCGAGAGUCAAGCUCCCCUUCCCGGGAAUGUGGGCUCGCUCCUAGUUAACGGAUUGUAGCAGGCGUGAUGCAGGACCACCCCAGAGGCUGAUCUUAAAAGGUGAUAACCCAUCUUUCUCCUGGGACACUUGCUCUUGGAACCCAGCCGUCCUGCGGGAGGAAACCAUGGCUGUGACAAGAGAUUGUCACAGCUUGAGGUAUAAGGGGUAACUAUUUGAGUUCAAAACUGAUUUGGCUUGAACCAAACAGCCUGACUUAUGGCCUGUCAGACACACAUUGUACAUCUGCUUAUCCACUAAAGAAUGCGCUCUCUUAAGAAUGCACACUUCCCCUCCUUUGCCCUAUUGGAUUAGUCCCUUUCCUGGCAUGCUGGUCAUGUUGACCUGCUAAUUUGCCACUGAAUACCUCUUUGAAAAUGUAUCCUGGGUGUGUUUAAUGUCUCUUCUUUGUUCUAAAAACAUAUAAGACUGUACUGAAACCCAGGGUUCUCCGGAAUGCCUGCUAAGGCCUUCCCGGGUUACAUUCCUCACUCUGGCUCAUAGUAAACUCACCUCAAUUAUGAUUUGUAAGUUAGUUAUGGAUAAUUUGCAUCAACAGCUGCCUGGAGAGUCGUGUGUUGGUGUUCUGGCCAGUAGUCCUCGCUGAGCUGCCGGCCAGCUCUGCAUCAGCUGCCAGACCUGUGAGUGAGGAAGCUUCAUGAAGACCCCGGCCUCGGUCCCCAUCCGACAGCAACCUCACCAGACACGCUGAACGAGAACCGCCUCGCUGACCCCAGUCAAGCCCUGGAGAUGAGAGAGAUUUUCCUCCUACUCUUCCUCCUGAUGAAGAUUGCUGCUGUUUUAUGCUGCUAAGUUUGGGCUGGCUUAGCACACAGCAGUAGAUAGCUUAAACACUGAUCAAUGGCAUAUUUCUAAAAAUUGUCAAAGGCCUUACACUAAUUUCCUCUUAAUAUUCUUUUUCUCUCUCCUUUACCCUUCCUAUUUCUGUAAGAAAGCGUCCUGAUGGUAAAGCGGGGCAGUAGUGCAGAAGGUGAUUUUUGACCAAGCUCUGCCCCCGAGGGCAAUGAUCAUUAGUGGGCGUCGCCAGGUUGUAGGACUGCGUCCAUCUCUUGUCUCUCAGAAACUCUCCAUGUGCGCAGGGACAGGGUAGGACACCCGUCCAUACGUCUGGGGUCUUUGUUUCUCGAGCUGUGACACGUACUUCGGCUCAGUGUCUCUCCCUGACUCUUACUGGACUUGGGGCCGGGUUUUGGGGUAUCACUUGGCAGUGUGCAAACACCACGUCUCUGAGGGACGUCUGUGUGAGGCAGAGGAAAGCUCUAGAAGGUGGGGCAGGAGGAAAAGUGAGAAAUCACGCAGGAGUGAGGAAUGUUAACUCCCAUUGUACCUGUUGUCACAUUAUUCUAAAACAUAAUGUAUGUUUUGCCCUGUGAAUAAGACUCAAAGACUUUCAGAAUCACCUUUCUUACCUUAAAGAGUGAGUUUUCUGUAUUCAAUGUGUAAUUAUAUGAAAGUCGUGGCUAUUUGACAUCUGGGAUGGACUCAGCAGUACCUCACUCAGACAUCGCCGCACCUUCUGAAGAAAGAAACUUGUUGGCCUCUUUAGAGUCUUGAGAAUGAGAGGAAGAAUUGAGCGUUAGUGGCGUCCUCUAGGAAAAUGGAGAAGAGGAAAGAGGAGAGCCACUGCCACGGGGCUACCCUCCCUGAUGAGGAUUCUGCCCCAGUCCCUUGCGCCAGCGAACAGGCAGGACACAGCAGGACCUGGGGGCUGCCUGCCUGGCCGGCCCCCUGCCAGCCGCGGAGGCACUACUGGCAGCAGGGGCUCCGGUCAGCUCUAGGAAAGGAGGAAAGGAGGCAGGACGGUGCCCAGUCGGCUUUCCCCCACGUUCUCUGUUUCUCCCAGGCUUAGAGAAGUGCUGUGCUGCUGCCAUGGCAAGACAAGCCGACAGCAGAGUUUGGCAUUUAUUGAGCACAUACUGAGUGCGAGGCUCCUGGGGACCAGGAUGAAUAAAGCACACUGUCCCCCCGACCCUGAGACA